AGUCUACUAGCUCAACCGGCAGAGCAUUGUGAAAAUGCACAAAAGAUGUGGGUUCGAAUCCACGUAGGUUC
rnacentral:tRNA from 1 species